AUUUUGCUUACACAAAGAUGUUCUGAGGGCAGAAAGGAAAAUAAUUGGUUUACAGAUUCAACCAAUGAAAUUGAAGCAGAGGCGAAUCAGGAAAUUUGGACGUGUGGAGGGAAUACCUCAGACAGAAACGUUAUUAACACUUCGUGGGAGGCAUUUGCUGCAAGAAAAACUUCUUGGAAAAAGCAGAAGUUGUCACUGGUCCAUACUUGGAGAAAGGGAAUCUCUGGACUUUCUUUAUGCUGUGCAGUGAGAUGGUCAGUGAUGUAGUGUUCCUGGCAUGGAAGUUUCCUGCACAAAAGAAAGUGGUCCAGAAAAUAUAUGAAAAUGAGGAUGUUCAUGAUUCAAUAUCCCAAACUAAAGCCUUUAGGAAGACCUUACAAACAUUUCUGGAGACUUUGAGAGACUGGCUUUGAGAAGAUAUUUGGCAAAGCAACCUAUGACCUUGGGCUUGGUUUAAAGGGAGCCUGUUCAAAUUUGUUGACUAGUUGUUGAUUAGUUUCCUGAGUUCGUAGUUUCCUGAGUUUAGUAUUCUCGCCUGGCCACUUCGUUUCGUCUGUCUCGCCGCCUGCCUUUCUGGACUCUCGCUCGUUGUAAGGAUUACUCUUCUGGCUCUCGUUAUGGAUUAUGUUCGCCGUUGAUCGACCCACGCCAGCCUCACAGACUUCUCUUGUGCCUCCCUCCGCCAU